GAAGGAUUAGUUAACAAUAUAACAUCAGAAUGUCAAACUGAAGUAAUCACAGAGAUACCCUUCU
rnacentral:tRNA from 1 species